UGCCUGGUCGUCUAACGGUAGGACGGCAGUUUUUGGUACUGUAGAUCGGGGUUCGAUUCCCUGCCGGGCAG
rnacentral:tRNA from 1 species